AUCACAGAGUAACAUUAGGAGUUCAGAAUUAGUCUGGUGAAAACCAAACAGUGAAGCAAUACCACAAGGAGAAGCUGUCAUCUUAAAAAUGGAAGGGAACAACAAGCAAAGUCCCUAAAUUAUAACAGUAAACCAGAAAACCAGAUAAUAAUGCCUUCUCUGCAAAAGGAGCUACAUGGCACUGCUAACUACUUGGUUUAGGAAUGAGAAAGCUACAUUCAGAGUAGUAAUCUGCAGAUAUGCACAACAUAAGAGCUGCAGGUUGAAGAGAAAUGAGGGUACCUGAGAUUUGGAGAUUCAUAACC